GACGGGUGAGUAAUGCAUAGGAAUCUGCCCGAUAGUGGGGGAUAACCUGGGGAAACCCAGGCUAAGAGCGCAUACGUCCUACGGGAGAAAGGGGGCUUCGGCUCCCGCUAUUGGAUGAGCCUAUGUCGGAUUAGCUAGUUGGUGAGGUAACGGCUCACCAAGGCGACGAUCCGUAGCUGGUCUGAGAGGAUGAUCAGCCACAUCGGGACUGAGACACGGGGCGAACUCCUACGGGAGGCAGCAGUGGGGAAUAUUGGACAAUGGGGGCAACCCUGAUCCAGCCAUGCCGCGUGUGUGAAGAAGGGCCUCGGGUUGUAAAGCACUUUCAGCGAGGAAGAACGCCUAGCGGUUAAUACCCGUUAGGAAAGACAUCACUCGCAGAAGAAGCACCGGCUAACUCCGUGCCAGCAAGACGCGGUACUACGGAGGGUGCAAGCGUUAAUCGGAAUGACUGGGCGUAAAGCGCGCGUAGGUGGCUUGAUAAGACGGUUGUGAAAGCCCCGGGCUCAACCUGGGAACG
rnacentral:rRNA from 1 species